rnacentral:tRNA from 1 species
UGCGCCGUUAGCUCAAUGGCAGAGCGGCGGGCUUUUAACCCGACGGUCGCGAGUUCGAUCCUCGCCCGGCACAUC